UAGGGAAUCUUCCACAAUGGACGCAAGUCUGAUGGAGCAACGCCGCGUGAGUGAAGAAGGUUUUCGGACCGUAAAGCUCUGUUGUUGGUGAAGAAGGAUAGAGGUAGUAACUGGCCUUUAUUUGACGGUAAUCAACCAGAAAGUCACGGCUAACUACGUGCCAGCAGCCGCGGUAAUACGUAGGUGGCAAGCGUUGUCCGGAUUUAUUGGGCGUAAAGCGAGCGCAGGCGGAAGAAUAAGUCUGAUGUGAAAGCCCUCGGCUUAACCGAGGAAUUGCAUCGGAAACUGUUUUCUUGAGUGCAGAAGAGGAGAGUAGAACUCCAUGUGUAGCGGUGGAAUGCGUAGAUAUAUGGAAGAAUACCAGUGGCGAAGGCGGCUCUCUGGUCUGCAACUGACGCUGAGGCUCGAAAGCAUGGGUAGCGAACAGGAUUAGAUACCCUGGUAGUCCAUGCCGUAAACGAUGAGUGCUAAGUGUUGGGAGGCUUCCGCCUGCUCAGUGCUGCAGCUAACGAACAUUAAGCACUCCGCCUGGGGGAGUACGACCGCAAGGU
rnacentral:rRNA from 1 species